rnacentral:rRNA from 1 species
AGCGAACGCUGGCGGCAGGCCUAACACAUGCAAGUCGAACGGAUCCUUCGGGAUUAGUGGCGGACGGGUGAGUAACACGUGGGAACGUGCCCUUUGGUUCGGAACAACUCAGGGAAACUUGAGCUAAUACCGGAUGUGCCCUUCGGGGGAAAGAUUUAUCGCCAUUGGAGCGGCCCGCGUCUGAUUAGCUAGUUGGUGAGGUAACGGCCCACCAAGGCGACGAUCAGUAGCUGGUCUGAGAGGAUGAUCAGCCACACUGGGACUGAGACACGGCCCAGACUCCUACGGGAGGCAGCAGUGGGGAAUCUUGCGCAAUGGGCGAAAGCCUGACGCAGCCAUGCCGCGGGAAUGAUGAAGGUCUUAGGAUUGUAAAAUUCUUUCAGCGGGGACGAUAAUGACGGGACCCGCAGAAGAAGCUCCGGCUAACUUCGU